rnacentral:rRNA from 1 species
GUUAAGUGACUAAGCGUAUACGGUGGAUGCCUAGGCAGUUAGAGGCGAUGAAGGACGUGUAAGUCUGCGAAAAGCUGUGGUGAGUUGACAAAACGCAUUUAGCCACAGAUGUCCGAAUGGGGAAACCCAGUGCAUUUAUGCACUAUCUGCAACUGAAUACAUAGGUUGUAGAGGCAAACGAGGGGAACUGAAACAUCUAAGUACCCUUAGGAAAAGAAAUCAACCGAGAUUUCCCUAGUAGCGGCGAGCGAACGGGAAUUAGCCCUUAAGCUAAUUGUAAGCCAGUGGAAUGUGUUGGAAAGCACAACGGUACAAGGUGAUAGUCCUGUACACAAAGGCGAACUUUAAGUGAAAUCGAGUAGGUCGGGACACGUGUUAUCUUGACUGAAUAUGGGGGGACCAUCCUCCAAGGCUAAAUACUCCUAACUGACCGAUAGUGAACCAGUACCGUGAGGGAAAGGCGAAAAGAACCCCUGUGAGGGGAGUGAAAUAGAACCUGAAACCGUAUACGUACAAGCAGUGGGAGCAGACUUGUUCUGUGACUGCGUACCUUUUGUAUAAUGGGUCAGCGACUUAUAUUUUGUAGCGAGGUUAACCGAAUAGGGGAGCCGUAGUGAAAGCGAGCGUUAACUGCGCGUCUAGUUGCAAGGUAUAGACCCGAAACCCGGUGAUCUAGCCAUGGGCAGGUUGAAGGUUGAGUAACAUCAACUGGAGGACCGAACCCACUGACGUUGAAAAGUCAGGGGAUGACCUGUGGCUGGGGGUGAAAGGCCAAUCAAACCGGGAGAUAGCUGGUUCUCCCCGAAAGCUAUUUAGGUAGCGCCUCGGACGAACACCAUGGGGGGUAGAGCACUGUUAAGGCUAGGGGGUCAUCCCGACUUACCAACCCUUUGCAAACUCCGAAUACCCAUGAGUGCUAUCCGGGAGACACACGGCGGGUGCUAACGUCCGUCGUGAAGAGGGAAACAACCCAGACCGCCAGCUAAGGUCCCAAAAUAUUGCUAAGUGGGAAACGAUGUGGGAAGGCUAAGACAGCUAGGAGGUUGGCUUAGAAGCAGCCACCCUUUAAAGAAAGCGUAAUAGCUCACUAGUCGAGUCGGCCUGCGCGGAAGAUGUAACGGGGCUAAGCAAUAUACCGAAGCUGCGGAUACGUGUUUACACGUAUGGUAGGGGAGCGUUGUGUAAGUGGUUGAAGGUGAGCUGUGAGGCUUGCUGGACAUAUCACAAGUGCGAAUGCUGACAUGAGUAACGAUAAUGCGGGUGAAAAACCCGCACGCCGGAAGACCAAGGUUUCCUGUCCCAUGCUAAUCAGGGCAGGGUAAGUCGGCCCCUAAGGCGAGGCAGAAAUGCGUAGUCGAUGGGAAACGGAUUAAUAUUUCCGUACUUGGUAUAUCAGUGAAGGGGGGACGGAGAAGGCUAAACAAGCUUGGUGUUGGUUAUCCAAGUGAAAGUGUGUAGGGCGUUGAAUUAGGUAAAUCCGGUUCAACACUAACCUGAGACACGAGACGAGUUUCUAAGGAAACGAAGUUGUUGAUGCCAUGCUUCCAGGAAAAGCCUCUAAACUUAUGAUAUAUCGAACCGUACCCCAAACCGACACAGGUGGUCAGGUAGAGAAUACUAAGGCGCUUGAGAGAACUCGGGUGAAGGAACUCGGCAAAAUUGUACCGUAACUUCGGGAGAAGGUACGCUGCUGUUUGUGAUGGGAUUUACUCCCUAAGCGAAUGGCAGCCGCAGUGACCAGGUGGCUGGGACUGUUUAUUAAAAACACAGCACUGUGCUAAAUCGAAAGAUGACGUAUACGGUGUGACACCUGCCCGGUGCCGGAAGGUUAAUUGAUGGGGUUAGCGUAAGCGAAGCUCUUGAUCGAAGCCCCGGUAAACGGCGGCCGUAACAAUAACGGUCCUAAGGUAGCGAAAUUCCUUGUCGGGUAAGUUCCGACCUGCAUGAAUGGUGUAACGACUUCUCCGCUGUCUCCAACAUACACUUGGUGAAUUUGAAAUACCCGUGAAGAUGCGGGUUUACUACAGCUAGACGGAAAGACCCCGUGCACUUUUACUAUACUUAUAAGUUGUAACGUUUUAGUUUUUGUGUAGGAUAGGUGGGAAUGAAAAUAACAAGUGAAAUACCACUCUUAAACUUUAAUUUUACUAAUUUUUAAGACAUCUUAUAACUGGUAGUUUGACUGGGGCGGUCACCUCCUAAAAAGUAACGGAGGUGUACAAAGGUAGAUUCUAAUAUUAAUUUAUUUUGAGUAUAAUGGCAUUAUAUCUACUUAACUGUAAGAUUAACCAAUCAAGCAGAGAUGAAAGUCGGUCAUAGUGAUCUGGUGAUUCUGUGUGGAAAGAUCAUCACGCAACGAAUAAAAAGUACGCCGGGGAUAACAGGCUAAUAAUUUUUAAGAGUUCAUAUCGAUGAGAUUGUUUGGCACCUCGAUGUCGACUCAUCACAUCCUGGAGCUGAAAAUGGUUCCAAGGGUUCGUCUGUUCGCCGAUUAAAGUGGUACGUGAGUUGGGUUCAGAACGUCGUGAGACAG